AGGUGAACAUGAUGAAAAGAGGAUGAGUGAUCAUUGAAAUGAUCCAAUUUUCCAUCGCUACGUUCUUUCUGAUUCACCU
rfam:Cajanus cajan Scaffold132266_1, whole genome shotgun sequence.